GCUCCCAUGGCGUAGUGGUCACUGCGCUCGCCUUGCACGCGGGAGACCCGGGUUCGAUUCCCGGCGGGGGAA
rnacentral:tRNA from 1 species